GAAUCCAAUGGCUCAAAACCCGCCGGCAUAGUCUAGAACCCGAUGGCCUAGAACCCAUCGGCAUAGUCCAAAAUCCAUCGGCACGGCUCAGAACCUGAAGGCCUAGAACUUGCCGGCCUGGCCCAGAACUUGCCACCCUGGCCUAGAAUCUAAUGAUCCAAAACCUGUUGGCAUGGCCUGAAACCCAUCGGUAUGGCCC
rnacentral:lncRNA from 1 species